GCUGACGAGUGGCGGACGGGUGAGUAAUGCAUAGGAAUCUGCCCAGUAGCGGGGGACAACUUGGUGAAAACCAAGCUAAUACCGCAUACGCCCUACGGGGGAAAGCAGGGGAUCUUCGGACCUUGCACUAUUGGAUGAGCCUGCGUUAGAUUAGCUUGUUGGUGGGGUAAAGGCCUACCAAGGCGACGAUCUAUAGCUGUUCUGAGAGGAAGAUCAGCCACACUGGGACUGAGACACGGCCCAGACUCC
rnacentral:rRNA from 1 species